GAGACGACGAGGCGUGAUCUGAGCCGCUUGGCAUUCCUUCAAUCUGAAAAAAAUAAAUUAAAUAAAAAGUAUAGGGAACUUGAAUUGUGCAUCAACUCCCUAUACAGGCAUUUAAUUUAUAAACGCAUCAAAGAUAUCGCACCUGUCACAAGACGUGUCAGCAUACGAGAAUUGGGCCGCUUGUUAAGAAAGCACCCAGGACUAUUCUUACACGAAUCGACUUUGCGGCUUUUUGCAUUUUUCCUCUAUGACAAGGCUGCAUCAGUACGGGCAAGCGUUUUAAAAGCCUUGCUCCCGUUGUAUGAGGACGUAAAAUUAGCCAACAAAUUAAAAUUGUUCAGUCACAAAUACCAACAAAGAAUUCUUAGAUUAUCUUGGGAUAAGAGCGGAUGCAAUCAGGAGAUUGCAAUAAAGCUCGUCACAGCAGUGUUCAGGUGAGAGUUGAGAAUAAAAAUGUUCACUUAAUAGACAAAUGUAUGAAACUUUUGAUGGUGAUAACCCAGUAAACACCCAACGGUAGUAGC